AAGGAGCACCACUAGACCUGCCCCGGCCCCGUAAAUUGCGGGAUCAGCUGAGCGUGAAGCGAUUCGUUGGAUGGCUCGACGUCUGUUGUGAAGGCGGGUCUGGUGCAACAACAAACAUUCUUUGGUCUUUCGGGACUGGCUGCCAAAAACACUAUUGGGCUUUGAGACAACGCGCCCAGCAGGACCCUCGCUCUACGGAAAUUGGGGUUGCCGUCCGUGCGUGUCCCGUUGGGGGCCAGGCCUGUGCUGUUGUCGCCCUGCUUUGGUGGUGGGGUGUGGUGUUUGAUUUGUGGAUAGUGGUUGCGAGCAUCUCCCAUACUCGAAGACUCCGGUCUCGUGAGAGGUUGGGGUGUUGUUGUGUGUGUUUGAUGUGCAAUUUCUUUUUUUCUUUUUCUGGUUUUUUGUGUUGUAAGUGUUUAAGGGCGCAUGGUGGAUGCCUUGGAAUUACGAGCCAAUGAACGACGUGGGAGGCUGAGAUGUGCCUCGGGGAGCUG
rnacentral:misc_RNA from 1 species